CGUUCAUGUUUGAAAGUUUUAUUGCAGUAGAUUUAUAUAAUUGAUUUUCUAAGAAGUCAAAGCUUUUUGACUCGUGUUUGUGCGACGAUGUGCCAACUUUAAUAAGACCUUUUUGUCAACUACUAGAGACAAUAAUUUCUUCAUACUUUAUAUAACAUUGAUGAGACUCACUGCUUCCUAUUAUUAAUUACUCAAAUCACUUUUAAGGAUAAGGAACUCAUGUAUUUGAGGAUCUCAUGUAUUUAGGAUCACAACCUUUUACAACCCUCCCGGUUUAUUUCUUAAUUUUCCUUUGAUCUUCUACACUUACUGUCUCCUUGAACUAUACAAUCAACUUGUUGCUUGUCUGUCGCAAUGAUAAGUAAGACAUAUACGUCUUACCCGGCCUGAUCAAUUGAAUAUCAACAAACCCAAACAAAUUUCCAAUCCAACUCCAAUCUUUCUUUGAUAUUCUUGAUGUUAAAUCGACCUUCCGUCAUUCCAGGAAAGCAUUUGAACAUUCUUUCUUGCUGUAAAUUUCCAUCGAUCCAUUAAGCAUCCUACCUUUCCUUAUUUAAGUCAGCUUUCAACAGUGAUUAAUUAAAAAUGGUUAUUUUAAUCCACAAAGGGACACCCUAACAAAUGGAUGUGUUGCGUGCAGUGCCAAAGCAUUAACAUGUAGAUGUACUGCGUGCAUGGCUAAUCAUAAGAAGAAAAAAUAAUAAUAGCUGAAAGUCAAUCAACUGCUUAAAGCUGUUGAGGGAUGAUGUCUCAAUGGUAAUUAGGGCAGUUUAUUCCCUGAAUUUAUUACUCCAAAAGAGGAUUUGAAUACAAAUAUAUUUUUUAUAUAUACUAUUGUUUAUUUUUCAUUUGUUUUUGUGUGUGUUUUUGGUUUUUGUUGUUGAUUUCCUGGGAAAAAUGCUAACUUGCAAAGGAGAUGCCCAUGGCCUUAGUUAACUGCUAGGUUAUUAUUUAGGUGCCCAGCUUGGAAAAUGGUUUUCUUUAUUUGUAUCCCUAACAGUCAUCAACACACCCAGGCAAAUGCACACACAUAACAAUACAUGAAAAAGAAUUCUUACAACAAAUACAAAGAGUAGAUCACACUUAUGUCAACUAAGAGUAGAUCACACAAAUGUAAACCAAGAGUAGGUCACACAAAUAUAAACAAAGAGUAGAUCACACUUAUGUCAACCAAGAGUAGGUCACACAAAUGUAAACAAAGAGUAGGUCACACAAAUAUAAACAAAGAGUAGGUCACACAAAUAUGAACAAAGAGUAGGUCACACAAAUAUAAACAAAGAGUAGGUCACACAAAUAUAAACAAAGAGUAGGUCACACAAAUAUAAACAAAGAGUAGGUCACACAAAUAUAAACAAAGAGUAGGUCAAACAAAUAUAAACAAAGAGUAGGUCACAUAAAUGUAAACAUAGAGUAGGUCACACAAAUAUAAACAAAGAGUAGGUCACACAAAUAUAAACAAAGAGUAGGUCACACAAAUAUAAACAAAGAGUAGGUCACACAAAUAUAAACAAAGAGUAGGUCACACAAAUAUAAACAAAGAGUAGGUCACACAAAUAUAAACAAAGAGUAGGUCACACAAAUAUAAACAAAGAGUAGAUCACACUUAUGUAAACCAAGAGUAGGUCACACAAAUGUAAACAAAGAGUAGGUCACACAAAUAUAAACAAAGAGUAGGUCACACAAAUAUAAAAAAAGAGUAGAUCACACUUAUGUCAACCAAGAGUAGGUCACACAAAUGUAAACAAAGAGUAGGUCACACAAAUAUAAACAAAGAGUAGAUCACACAAAUAUUAACAAAGAGUAGGUCACACAAAUAUAAACAAAGAGUAGAUCACACUUAUGUAAACCAAGAGUAGGUCACACAAAUGUAAACAAAGAGUAGGUCACACAAAUGUAAACAAAGAGUAGGUCACACAAAUAUAAACAAAGAGUAGAUCACACAAAUAU